rnacentral:rRNA from 1 species
CAGCCGCCGCGGUAAUACGAAGGGUGCAAGCGUUAAUCGGAAUUACUGGGCGUAAAGCGUGCGCAGGCGGUUAUAUAAGACAGAUGUGAAAUCCCCGGGCUCAACCUGGGAACUGCAUUUGUGACUGUAUAGCUAGAGUACGGCAGAGGGGGAUGGAAUUCCGCGUGUAGCAGUGAAAUGCGUAGAUAUGCGGAGGAACACCGAUGGCGAAGGCAAUCCCCUGGGCCUGUACUGACGCUCAUGCACGAAAGCGUGGGGAGCAAACAGGAUUAGAUACCCCGGUAGUCCCUGUCUCUUAUAC